CGAGGGAAUUUUGAAAGCUCACGCUUUACUGUUUGUAUUAAUAAGAUCCACUGCUGACGUCGAAGAUAAAGACCCGACUGCCGUAUUUUGACUGCAAGACUAUGCUUCACAUUCCAGCCCCGCUCUCAUUUGUUCCAGCCUAUACCAACGCUCACACGCUCUCUCGGGAACGGUUGGCAUUGGCAGUGAGCGAGCGGGCAUGAGUGACAGUCUGCAGUAGUUCGCUCGGGCUCCCAACCUCAUAUAUCGUUUUAGAUUAGCUAUAUGCUAAUAUCGAUUAGAGAGAAGAGUAGCAGCGCGGUGCUGCGAGCCGACAGUGGAGGCUACCCGAGUCUGAGCAGGCUCCUCAACAGCCAUGGCUGAAGGUGGUGAAGGGGAAGAUGAAAUUCAGUUCUUGAGAACUGCAUAUUUAAACACCCAGUGGAAAUUAUGUUCAAUGCAGUGGCAUAUUAAAGUAGAUGAAUGCAGAAGUGGAGAGUCUAUUUACAACCCAAGAAGAGCUUAGUGAUUCUACUUCUGUGCAGCUAACGUGUAAAAGUGUGGAACUUGGCAGACGCUAGACGUCCUUCCUCAAUGACAACGUGUGAGACAUCUUUGACCUCAUCAGCUGCUUCAGGGCUGAAAUCCUAAAAAUGCAUUUCAGUUCCUAUCUCAUCCUUCUCCUGCACAGAUAGUAGCCUACUCCCACACAUUCCCAGAAGACAAGUGUCAGUUAUGGAGCACCAUUAACUGUGUGAAGUGACAAAGAGCUAAGAGGACAUUGAGGAAAGAGAAGCUGAGCGAAAGAUACACCCUGCUAUCUUGCUGUUAAGAGACUUACUUGGACAUUAGCAGUGGGCUUAGUAAGUCCAUGUUUGCAUUGCUCUGGAAGCCUCCUGUAUUCCCAGAAAUGACAGUGGGUGGGGUUUAAAAUGUUUCCCUGAAAAGCUGAUGCUUCCAAUGCUCCGCAGGUCCCCAUCCCUUGUUACCACUACAUGCAGAGGUUGUUACAUCAUUAUGCACACCGCCCCAAACAGUGCUGACAUUUCAGCACUAUUACUGCUUGGAGGGCUAGCACCUAAAUGCCAGACAGCAGUCUGCACCUGUGAUCUAUACAGUAAAAACAAUGGACAUAAGUUCUGGAGUUGGCCCUUUGGGUUUUGCUAUCUGUGCUAAAAUUAUUUUUCUUAGCCUAUCAAAUUUGCCAUGGCUGGUCCCACCACAGUUGUCCUCUUUGGCAAAGUUCAAAUGUGACACUUUGAGUUGUGAAGGCAC
ensembl:lncRNA